AAGUCGUAACAAGGUUUCCGUAGGUGAACCUGCGGAAGGAUCAUUAACAAAUCCCCUGUUCAUCCGUGUGCUGGUUGUGGAUGGGUUCAUUCUCAUCUGGUGCACGGAUAACACUUGCUCCAUGCGCACGUUUGCUCUGUGCAUGACAUUUCUGCGAAUCGUCUGAUCAUUGUCACUCUAAUCUAUAAAUAACUUUUAACAAUGGAUCUCUAGGCUCUU
rnacentral:misc_RNA from 1 species